rnacentral:rRNA from 1 species
GACGAACGCUGGCGGCGUGCUUAACACAUGCAAGUCGAACGGAAAGGCCCUGCUUUUGUGGGGUGCUCGAGUGGCGAACGGGUGAGUAACACGUUAGUAACCUGCCCUUGACUUUGGGAUAACUUCAGGAAACUGGGGCUAAUACCGGAUAGGAGCUCCUGCUGCAUGGUGGGGGUUGGAAAGUUUCGGCGGUUGGGGAUGGACUCGCGGCUUAUCAGCUUGUUGGUGGGGUAGUGGCUUACCAAGGCUUUGACGGGUAGCCGGCCUGAGAGGGUGACCGGCCACAUUGGGACUGAGAUACGGCCCAGACUCCUACGGGAGGCAGCAGUGGGGAAUAUUGCACAAUGGGCGGAAGCCUGAUGCAGCAACGCCGCGUGCGGGAUGACGGCCUUCGGGUUGUAAACCGCUUUCGCCUGUGACGAAGCGUGAGUGACGGUAAUGGGUAAAGAGGCACCGGCUAACUACGUG